CUGAAUCAGGGGUUGCCUCCCUUUCAAGUUCCUACCCAUCCCGUCCGUUCUACAAGCCAUGGAAGAGAGAGGGCGCAGAUGGGAGCAUGGUGGCCUCUGGACCAUCACGCGGGAAAAGGACAUGCCGAUGCACUGCCGCCCACCUCGCCGCCGCCGCUGCUCGCGUGACGGUUCUCCUCCGUCCACCCCCACCUCCAACUCGAUCUCCGGCUAUCGCAACCCUGCAGAUGGCCAAGUCUGGGUACAAGCACCUGCCGCGCAUCACGGAGGACACAGCCCGCACGCCGCUCUUAGCGUCGUCUUGUACGUGGCCAACUGCGGGCCUACGGUGGUGCCGACCCACGACGAUCUCGCCUUGCCUUUGAGGCCACCGCCACGGAUGACAGCGGCGAGUGUCAUCGUCCGUUUUCAUGAGCCCUCCACCACCGUGGCCGUGAUGGCCGCGUCCCAGUUGCGCUCAAGGCCCUGGUCACCAUCUCUGUUCCCCUGGUGGCUCUCUCGUCGUGCAUUCACUUGGUCGAUGAGUUCGUCACUGCCGUCGAGGAACAUGUCAUUUAACUUGAGUCCCAGCCGUUAAGCUUGUUACUAAUAAGUUUGGGUUCAGUAGAAUAUGUAAUUUUGUUCCUUCUGCAGGAGCUUCUUGCAUAUGUGGACAGGAUGCUGUUGGCUAAUGCAGCUGACUUGUGCCACUCAAACUGCUGAUUUUGUGUUGCAGCCGCUUUCUCACACUGCUGACUUGUGCCACUUCCGCUCAUGGAAUUGACCCAAUUGAAAGUGCUCCUCUCAUGUCUAUUUCUAUCUAGGAAGUCAGACCUUAAUUUAACCAGAUGGCCUACAAUAUCUAGCAACUCAAACCACCGAGUCAUAUUAGAGUAAUUUUUUAAUACAGUCAUAAAACUAUCCAUCAUGACAUGCAAAUUUAUUAUUCUCAUUAGAGGUUAACUAAGUAUUUUUUUUUCAGGCACCUAGACAAAUUCUGGAAGGAGCGGCAUGACUGGGAACGGAACGGAAUAAGUUCAGGGAGUUGUCCGAGAUUCAAUAUGGUUUUCCAUAUGGUUCGGGAUUGAUACAUCAAAGAGUUUAAAAGUGCUAUAUUAUAUACCAAAUAUACUGUUACGCAUAUGAAAUCAUGACACUAAUUAGAUGAGUUCUUUUCACUAAUUUCUGAACAAAUUUCCAUUGUUCAGGUUCUGACUUCAUUUGUUGAGAUUUUGAUUUUUUUUUUACAUGUGAGCAAUGAAAACACCUUAUUAUUUGAGGUUCCUCUGCUUUUGAAUUUGGUAAAUGACAAUUUUCUUCUUCUUAUAGGCAUAGUUAGCCAUCUGAAAUGAUCUAAGGUGCAACUCAGAAUCUGGGUGACAUAGCAACUUCUGCCAGCAGUGCAGAAGAAGAAAGGCACCUGCACAAGCUUUAUUUUCAACGAUGAGGACACUUCAAGAACUUGAAAUUAUCCUGCUAUGUAUUGACUGCUCGGAGCUAACUUGACUAUGCCAGAUUUCUUGUAUGGCUCAAAGUAGUAAGUAUCCCCCCUUAUUAUCAGAGAGGUACUACUUCAAACAUCUCUUCUUAAUGUUUUAUUUCGUGGUAUACAAUAUGAUGGAGUGUUAGAUGGCUUGACUUUUGUGACACUCAUUUAUAACCUUUCAGUUUAGGAGUUUUCGUGGCCUCUUGAUCCAUGAGAGCACUGGCGGAGCUUCGGCAAGGCCGAUUGGGCCGUGGCCCGCCCAAGUCUGGAGCAAAAAGCUAAUUAUAUAGUACUGCAGCUCACAGCGCUGACGGACACCGUACAAGAAACGCAGCAGAGUCGUACGCGUAGGAUUCACAGCGAUGCAGGCUCAGGGUUCGACCGCGACUGCGGCCUCAUAGUGCAGUAGGAAGCACACAUAAGCCGCCGGCUGCCGCGACGCCGGCCGCCGGCCACCGGAGCACCGCACACAUCAGUGUCCCACGGACGGACGGCCAACCGGCACACGUGUAUUCAGCCGACCCACGCGACGACGCAACGGUAGGCGGCGACCCAAGCACCCAACUAGCUAGCUUCUUCUCUCAAUCCAUGAGAAUCACUACUAAUGUGUAUCCCUGCUGAUAGAGGCUAAGGUGUCCCGAUGUUUUGAUGA